AGAUUUCCGGAGCUCCUUUCCUAGCUGCCUUCUGUCCAGUACUCUGCCCCACAGACUCCAGGCAUCUCAGUAGCUCCAAACUCUGAUCUCUGCCUCCCCAGUUCAGUGGCCACUAUCCCCCCCAGGUAGAAACUCAGUGACAGCACCUGGUCGGUUAAGCAUCCAACUCUUGAUCUCAGCUCAGGUCUUGAUCUCAGGGUCAAGAGUUUAAGCCCCACCUUGGGCUCCAUGCUGGGUGUGGAGCCUAUUA